GAUGAACGCUGGCGGCGUGCUUAACACAUGCAAGUCGAACGGUGAACACGGGGCUUGCUCUGUGGGAUCAGUGGCGAACGGGUGAGUAACACGUGAGCAACCUGCCCCUGACUCUGGGAUAAGCGCUGGAAACGGCGUCUAAUACUGGAUAUGUGACGUGACCGCAUGGUCUGCGUUUGGAAAGAUUUUUCGGUUGGGGAUGGGCUCGCGGCCUAUCAGCUUGUUGGUGAGGUAAUGGCUCACCAAGGCGUCGACGGGUAGCCGGCCUGAGAGGGUGACCGGCCACACUGGGACUGAGACACGGCCCAGACUCCUACGGGAGGCAGCAGUGGGGAAUAUUGCACAAUGGGCGCAAGCCUGAUGCAGCAACGCCGCGUGAGGGAUGACGGCCUUCGGGUUGUAAACCUCUUUUAGCAGGGAAGAAGCGAAAGUGACGGUACCUGCAGAAAAAGCGCCGGCUAACUACGUG
rnacentral:rRNA from 1 species